ensembl:lncRNA
GUUAAAUGUUUAACUAUUUUGAAAGUGUAAAUUUAACUCCGGGGACUGUGGAGCUAUAUAAACUGAAAAAGUGUUGAAAUCAACUAUAUGAGAGUUUAUUCAACACUGGACUAUUUGCUGUGCAGAGGGCAACAGUUCAAAGAGGAAGUGGGCUGGAGUGAUUUUAUCAGCACUUUUCCUCAAUCUGGAGGUCUAAAGUUUGUUGUAGUUUCUUGAUGUCUGAUUUGGUAGCUGAACCAAACCAAACAGUUAUAGAUUAACACAGGACAGAAUCGAUGGCUAAGUAGAACUGGGUGAGCAGCUCAUGUGGCAGGUUGAACUUCCUCAGCUGGUGAAGGAAAUACAACCUCAAUGACCUGAAAGAUGGUGGUGCCCAGGAACUUCAAUGACCAUACUGUUGCUACAGUACUGUUCAUGAUGGGUUGGGAGGAACAUAAGGUUGUCCGCUUGACUCUGGUGGAUAGGGAUAAUGAAUCUGACCUUGAUCUGGAUGAGGUGGAUAACCAAAAGCAUCCUAGGAAAGUGGAGAACGGACAGGAAACAGGGUGUCUGCGGGUCCUUAAAAAGUCUUAAAAUGUCUUAAAUUUGGAUUCGACUGGUCUUAAAUAUUUUUGGUCACAUUACCGCUACCCUCUGAGGUCUAGGGGGUUUUGGGGGCCUGGAGAAAUUUUGACAUCCCCUGACUUUUGUACUUUUUUCAGUUGCUUAUAAAUAGAUACAUGGCUAAAGUCUAAUAACACUGUAAUCAGUACAAACUGGGCUACAAUAAUAUGUAAAAAGCAUGCAUGUACAUGAUUGUGUUUUUGAGAAAACAAACCUGGAGCUUGUAGCCUAGAAUUUUUGUUUCAAUUGAUAAAAUCAUCUUGUUUACUGUCUCACAGAAAACAAUGAUUAAUUUAAAAUUUCUAAGACACUUUUUGUUUCAAAAGGGCAUAUGCGAGUAGGCGUCAACUAUCAUGAAUAUUUGUGUGUUUGACACCUGAGAAGACAAAGACUCACAUAAUGAGCUGCAUAAUGAGCCUUUCAGGCAGGUGAGUGACCGAGAGGGAAGAGUUACAAGAAAGAAUGUGAGGACAAAAUAAAUGUAUAUAAUUUUAUGU